CCCUGGUUGAUCCUGCCAGUAGUUAUAUGCUUGUCUCAAAGAUUAAGCCAUGCAUGUCUCAGUGCAAGCCGUAUUAAGGCGAUACCGCGAAUGGCUCAAUAUAUCAGUUUUGGUUCCUUAGAUCUUACUCAGUUACUUGGAUAACUGUGGUAAUUCUAGAGCUAAUACAUGCAAUCAGAACUCUGACCAGUGAUGGGAUGAGUGCUUUUAUUAGAUCAAAACCAAUCGACGGAGGGCCUCGCGUCCGAAGUCGUUAAUUUUGAUGAAUCUGGAUAACUUUUGCCGAUCGCAUGGUCCAGUACCGGCGACGCAUCUUUCAAAUGUCUGCCUUAUCAACUUUCGAUGGUAGUUUCUGCGACUACCAUGGUUGUCACGGGUAACGGGGAAUCAGGGUUCGAUUCCGGAGAGGGAGCCUGAGAAACGGCUACCACAUCCAAGGAAGGCAGCAGGCGCGCAAAUUACCACUCCCGGCACGGGGAGGUAGUGACGAAAAAUAACGAUACGGGACUCUUACGAGGCCUCGUAAUCGGAAUGAGUACACUUUAAAUAUUUUAACGAGGAACAAUUGGAGGGCAAGUCUGGUGCCAGCAGCCGCGGUAAUUCCAGCUCCAAUAGCGUAUACUAAAAUUGUUGCGGUUAAAAAGCUCGUAGUUGCAUUUGUGCGCCGCGCUGUCGGUGCACCGCAUCCGCGGUGAUACUGACACGUCUGCGGAGCAUAUCGUCGGUGAGCCGUCGGUUAAACGUCGGUUCAAUAUCAAAAUCCUAUCGCGGUGCUCUUCAAUGAGUGUCGAGGUGGGCCGACAAUUUUACUUUGAACAAAUUAGAGUGCUCAAAGCGGGCUCAAAAUGCUGCUUGAAUAUUUCGUGCAUGGAAUAAUAGAAUAUGAUCUCGGUUCUAUUUUGUUGGUUUUCAGAACUCCGAGGUAAUGAUUAAUAGGGAUAACUGGGGGCAUUCGUAUUGCGACGUUAGAGGUGAAAUUCUUGGAUCGUCGCAAGACGAACAUCAGCGAAAGCAUUUGCCAAAGGUGUUUUCAUCAAUCAAGAACGAAAGUUAGAGGUUCGAAGGCGAUUAGAUACCGCCCUAGUUCUAACCGUAAAUAUGUCAUCUAGCGAUCCGCCGACGUUACUACAAUGGCUCGGCGGGCAGCUUCCGGGAAACCAAAGAUUUUGGACUCCGGGGGAGUAUGGUUGCAAAGCUGAAACUUAAAGGAAUUGACGGAAGGGCACCACCAGGAGUGGAGCCUGCGGCUUAAUUUGACUCAACACGGGAAAUCUCACCAGGCCCGGACACCGGAAGGAUUGACAGAUUAACAGUGAUGCUUCACGUCAAGUGUGUGUCGUGUAGGUGAGAAUGUAUGGAGAUUUGAAUUAGAAAUAGAUUUUGGGGUUUAUUAGGUUGCUUAGUAAUGGAGUAUUUUGUUAACAUAGAUAUGUAAAAGUGCAUUACAAUAUUUUUUACUUCAACGUAUUGCAAUGUAUGUCAAAAGGAAUUUGAAAAAAACUUGUGGUCACUUGAGGUGUUCGGUUGUCUUCAUGUCAUGCCAGUUUUCUUUGAAGGAGGGAGGACAUUCAUUGACUUCUCCGUCUUGAUCAAGGCGAGAGGGAGGGUCAGACUCUUACUGACUAAAACCACCCCGUUCCUACUCCUGCUUUUUGAGCCGGAGCCUCGGUAAAAACGGCUAGGUACUUUGCAGUCAUGUCAUGCUGCAACUGAUUAAUCAACCUAGCUAGCAUUACCGAUUUACAGCCAUUACUGUGGAAACAUUUCUC
rnacentral:rRNA from 1 species